rnacentral:tRNA from 1 species
UCCCUGGUGGUCUGGUGGCUAAGACUCCAUGCUCCUAAUGCAGGGGGCCAGGGUUCCAUUCCUGGCCAGGGAA